rnacentral:rRNA from 1 species
UACAGAGGUCCCGAGCGUUGUUCGGAUUCACUGGGCGUAAAGGGUGCGUAGGUGGUGCGGUAAGUCGGAUGUGAAAUCUCCGAGCUCAACUCGGAAAUGGCAUUGGAAACUACCUUGCUCGAGGGUUGGUGGGGGGACUGGAAUACUUGGUGUAGCAGUGAAAUGCGUAGAUAUCAAGUGGAACACCAGUGGCGAAGGCGAGUCCCUGGACAACUCCUGACACUGAGGCACGAAAGCUAGGGGAGCAAACAGG